GGGGGUGUCUUUGGUUUCGACACGAUUGGAACUCUAUAGAAGGCAGUGGAUUUGUGACCUAAUCACUUGGAAAUAGGUGCCAAAAAGACCAACUCUUUGCACAUUCCAGCAGCAAGCACUUUAGCUUGCGCUGCUUGCUAAUAACGGCAAGAUCUAGUUUCUGACUGCGGUCAGAUAGUGCAGUUGAAUUCUGAACUUGUGAUAUUCAUAAGAUUCAACUAUAGGAAAUAUCAUUCUGUAUCCGCUCUGGUUGCGGUGGAACAGAAUAAUUGCAACCUUGGAAUUCAGGUAGUUUGCUGGUAAAGCUCUGAAGUUUGACAGAUCAAAAAUCAGAUAAACUGUAGUUCUUUUAUAGAAAGCCUUUUGUGGACACGGGUUCAAGUCCCGUCACCUCCACCA
rnacentral:tmRNA from 1 species